rnacentral:rRNA from 1 species
AUUGAACGCUGGCGGCAGGCCUAACACAUGCAAGUCGAACGGUAACAGGAAACAGCUUGCUGUUUCGCUGACGAGUGGCGGACGGGUGAGUAAUGUCUGGGAAACUGCCUGAUGGAGGGGGAUAACUACUGGAAACGGUAGCUAAUACCGCAUAACGUCGCAAGACCAAAGAGGGGGACCUUCGGGCCUCUUGCCAUCGGAUGUGCCCAGAUGGGAUUAGCUAGUAGGUGGGGUAACGGCUCACCUAGGCGACGAUCCCUAGCUGGUCUGAGAGGAUGACCAGCCACACUGGAACUGAGACACGGUCCAGACUCCUACGGGAGGCAGCAGUGGGGAAUAUUGCACAAUGGGCGCAAGCCUGAUGCAGCCAUGCCGCGUGUAUGAAGAAGGCCUUCGGGUUGUAAAGUACUUUCAGCGGGGAGGAAGGGAGUAAAGUUAAUACCUUGACCCAUUGACGUUACCCGCAGAAGAAGCACCGGCUAACUCCGUG